rnacentral:misc_RNA from 1 species
GGGGAUUGUCUUUAUCCUAUCACUCAUGCAUAGUUUACAAAUGUGGUGCGCAGCAUAUCAAACAAUGACAUCAUAUAUAAGCAAAUAUGAAAAAAAAAAAUGAUGUUGAUCCACAUGACAAAAUCUAUGCAUUCCAUAAUCUAAAUGAAGAGAUCCAAUGGGAGACAACACGUCAAAGGACGGAAAGAAAAAGCCAAGCAAGCAUUAAAUACACCACCACUUUAAUCAAUCCACAUUAGCCAACAUUUAUACACAAAAAAAAUAUAGCCAAAAGGAUAAGUCACAAACAUGUGAAGCAUCUUAAAGAAUAAAGUAUCAUUACAAGUCAAACAGACAGCCAAAACAAUGAUCAUCACAAUAGGCACAAAUGACAUUAACUGCCAGAUUGAGAAGAAUAAGAAAACCCACUUAGGGAUAUAAUAAUAUUUCUCAAAUAUUCCAUACAUUGCAC